CCCAGUCCUGUUGCCUUGUACGUGUUUUGCAGGGGAAGCAUCUGCACACACUCUGGCACUGAAUAACGUUAAAAAGAAAAAAAAAUCCGACAAACUUUUGAAGCGGAAUAUUUUUGUUAUUGUUGUUUUCGUAAGAGGUUCUGAGAGUGUCUAAGUUUGCAUGCAUGAAACAGUACCUUCCAAGUCGGUCUUGCGGUUGGCUAAAGCUCUUCACAUUUUCUAUUGAAAAAUUAACUGUCUCUACCACAGAGUUUUCUAUUGCACCCAAUGGCCCCUUGGCUAACUCAACAAUUCUUUUAGUAGAAGCAACAAGAAGGCUAGAAGAAAAUGGACAUGCAAGAGCUGUAAGAAAGCAUCAGCUGUGGCAAAGGAAAAGGAAAGCUGCGUCUCUGCUCAAAAGGAUGCCAGGAUUUCCUAUUUUGGUGGUCCGCUAUGAUUUUCCUCAUUAGGCUGGAAGUUCUAAUACUAAAGUCAUGGUUGUUACAGAAGAAGUCAAGAAACUGCUGUAGUGAGUCCCAUCAUGUGCUGUCCUAUUUAAGUGAAUGUAUUGAAUGUGCUUCUUCAGUGCACUCUUACAUCAGUGUGUUUGCUAGCAAAUAUUCACUUAAUACAAUUUAAACUAUAAUUCUAAUGGUCAAGGCCAAGGUGAUUCAGUGACGUUUGCUUCCAGAAGUCUAAAAUGCAGCCAUGGUCUGUUCAAAGCUCAGUCUUAAAAU
rnacentral:lncRNA from 1 species